rnacentral:rRNA from 1 species
AACGAACGCUGGCGGCAUGCCUAACACAUGCAAGUCGAACGAAGCCUUCGGGCUUAGUGGCGCACGGGUGCGUAACGCGUGGGAAUCUGCCCUUGGGUUCGGAAUAACAGUUAGAAAUGACUGCUAAUACCGAAUGAUGUCUUCGGACCAAAGAUUUAUCGCCCAAGGAUGAGCCCGCGUCGGAUUAGCUAGUUGGUGAGGUAAAGGCUCACCAAGGCGACGAUCCGUAGCUGGUCUGAGAGGAUGAUCAGCCACACUGGGACUGAGACACGGCCCAGACUCCUACGGGAGGCAGCAGUAGGGAAUAUUGCACAAUGGAGGAAACUCUGAUGCAGCGACGCCGCGUGAGUGAUGAAGGACUUCGGUUUGUAAAGCUCUGUUGUCAGGGAAUAAAAAAUAGAAUAGUACCUGACGAGAGAGGACCGGCUAACUUCGUGCCAGCAGCCGCGGUAAU